rnacentral:lncRNA from 13 species
CUUUCCUAGAACUGAGUUUUGUCUGUAUCUGGAGCACCCAUUCUGAGUGAUGGCAGAAAGAGUGGUCGAAUGGAUUCAGAUGCCCUCCAACUAACCUCACUCCAAGCAGGAUUUUCUUUGGCACCUCUUUCUCCCUGGGGUCAGCUCCAAGAGCAGGAGCCUUGGUUGAGGCCAGGCCUGAGCUCCGGGACACGUCACAUUUUGGACCCUGGACUGCCCUGGCAGCAGCAGCAGCCACUGCCAAAAUACUCUGAGGCCAGUGUGCUUCAUUUAUAAAAUGGGCACGGGAUCUCCACGGUUGGAAAGAUGAAGGUAAAUUUGCAGCGUCCCAGGGAUGCCAAGUUCACGUGGUCCUGGCUUGCAAUGAUGAGGAGAAUGGAACUGGGGGUGGGGAGAGGGAAGGGAGGAAACCAAGAGGCAGAACAGCCAACAGAGCAUGUUGGCCCUGGGCACCCCCACCUGCCCCCAGGGAAGUUGAACUGAGAGGGUGAGGAGCUGGAGGAGCCAGAUCUGGUGCUUGAAUUGGG